rnacentral:rRNA from 1 species
AAUGAACGUUGGCGGCGUGGAUUAGGCAUGCAAGCCGAGCGAGAACCCCGCAAGGGGGGACAGCGGCGCAAGGGACAGUAAUGUGUAGAUUAUCUGCCCUCGGGUCCGGGAUAGCCGCGGGAAACUGCGGGUAAUACCGGAUGACAUCUCCGGAUCAAAGGUGUGAUUCCGCCCGAGGAUGAGUCUACAUCCUAUUAGCUAGUUGGCAGGGCAAUGGCCUACCAAGGCGAUGAUGGGUAGCGGGUGUGAGAGCACGACCCGCGUCAUUGGGACUGAGACACUGCCCAGACACCUACGGGUGGCUGCCGUCGAGAAUCUUCGGCAAUGGGCGCAAGCCUGACCGAGCGACGCCGCGUGUGGGAUGAAGGCCUUCGGGUUGUAAACCACUGUCAGAGGGGAUGAAAUGCAGGUGGGUUCUCCCAUCUGUUUGACAUAGCCUCAGAGGAAGGACGGGCUAAGUUCGUGCCAGCAGCCGCCGUAAAAC